rnacentral:rRNA from 1 species
GACGAACGCUGGCGGCGUGCUUAACACAUGCAAGUCGAACGGAAAGGCCCUGCUUUUGUGGGGUGCUCGAGUGGCGAACGGGUGAGUAACACGUGAGUAACCUGCCCUUGACUUUGGGAUAACUUCAGGAAACUGGGGCUAAUACCGGAUAGGAGCUCCUGCUGCAUGGUGGGGGUUGGAAAGUUUCGGCGGUUGGGGAUGGACUCGCGGCUUAUCAGCUUGUUGGUGGGGUAGUGGCUUACCAAGGCUUUGACGGGUAGCCGGCCUGAGAGGGUGACCGGCCACAUUGGGACUGAGAUGCGGCCCAGACUCCUACGGGAGGCAGCAGUGGGGAAUAUUGCACAAUGGGCGGAAGCCUGAUGCAGCAACGCCGCGUGCGGGAUGACGGCCUUCGGGUUGUAAACCGCUUUCGCCUGUGACGAAGCGUGAGUGACGGUAAUGGGGAAAGAAGCACCGGCGAACUACGU